rnacentral:tRNA from 1 species
GGAGAGAUGGCUGAGCGGUUGAAGGCGGCGGUCUUGAAAACCGUUGAAGGUGAAAGCCUUCCCAGGGUUCGAAUCCCUGUCUCUCCGCCA